UGGGGAAUCUUGGACAAUGGGCGCAAGCCUGAUCCAGCCAUGCCGCGUGGAUGAUGAAGGCCUUAGGGUUGUAAAAUCCUUUCGCCGAGGACGAUAAUGACGGUACUCGGAGAAGAAGCUCCGGCUAACUUCGUGCCAGCAGCCGCGGUAAUACGAAGGGGGCUAGCGUUGUUCGGAUUUACUGGGCGUAAAGCGCGUGUAGGCGGGUCGUUAAGUUGGGGGUGAAAUCCCGAGGCUCAACCUCGGAACUGCCUUCAAAACUGGCGACCUGGACCUAAGUAGAGGCAAGUGGAAUUGCGAGUGUAGAGGUGAAAUUCGUAGAUAUUCGCAGGAACACCAGUGGCGAAGGCGACUUGCUGGACUUAUGGUGACGCUGAGACGCGAAAGCGUGGGGAGCAAACAGGAUUAGAUACCCGAGUAGUCCCUGAGCGGGCUGGCAAGGCGCAU
rnacentral:rRNA from 1 species